rnacentral:lncRNA from 1 species
UUAGGAGUUAUUGCCCUUUAUAGUCAUUUUUUUUUUUACAUUUUUCAUAAAUUUUUGUAGAUUUUUAGAAAAUAUUUUCCACUGUAAUUACCGGGCCAAGUUCAUUAUAGAUAGGGAUACUUGUAGCAACAAGAAUGUUCAGUAAAGUAAGAUCUACAAACACAUCACCAUCAUCAAAACACAAUUUUGUUAUGAAUUUAUCUGUGUCCAUUGUUUAAUAUGCACAUAGACCAAGGUGAGCGACACAGGCUCUUGAGAGCCUCUAGUUUGUACAUAAA